GAUGAACGCUGGCGGCGUGCCUAAUACAUGCAAGUCGAGCGAACAGACGAGGAGUUUGCUCCUCUGACGUUAUCGCCGGACGGGUGCUUAACACGUGGAUAACCUACCUAUAAGACUGGGAUAACUUCGGGAAACCGGAGCUAAUACCGGAUAAUAUAUUGCACCGCAUUGUUCAAUAGUGAAAUUCGGUUUUGCUGUCACUUAUAGAUGAAUACGCGCCGCAUUAGCUAGUUGGUAAGGUAACUGCUUACCAAGGCUACGAUGCGUAGCCGCCCUGAAAGGGUGAUCGGACACACGGGAACUGAGACACGGUCCAGACUCCUACGGGAGGCAGCAGUAGGGAAUCUUACGGAAUGGAGGAAAGCCUGACGGAGCAAAGCGGCGUGAGUGAUGAAGGUCUUCGGACCGUAAAGCUAUGUUAUUAGGGAAGAACAAAUGUGUAAGUACCCAUGCACGUAUUGACGGUACCUAGUCAGAAAGCCACGGCUAACUACGUG
rnacentral:rRNA from 1 species